CCUACGGGAGGCAGCAGUGGGGAAUAUUGGACAAUGGGCGCAAGCCUGAUCCAGCCAUGCCGCGUGUGUGAAGAAGGCCUUCGGGUUGUAAAGCACUUUUGUACGGGAAGAAACACGGCCGGUGAAUACCCGGCCGGACUGACGGUACCGUAAGAAUAAGCACCGGCUAACUUCGUGCCAGCAGCCGCGGUAA
rnacentral:rRNA from 1 species